ACACCAAAGUGCAGCUGAUAACUGGGAUUGAACUCUUAUUGCUGUCAGGGGCCCAGGACAGAUGCUGGGGCAGCUUACACACCAGGAAUGGAGGACACAGAAAGCACCGAGGAUUGUUGCAGAGUGUCGGUGCCUCGGCAGAUGCCAAGCUCUGAACAGUGUGUGCCGGGUCCACAGCAAAUCCUCAGUAAACGUGGCUAUGAGCAUAUCCAGGAAGUGCCACAGGCAAGUCAGAGCAGGGAGAGAGUUCUCAUGGCUCCAGAGAUCUCUUCAGAGGACACUGAGAAGAAUCCAGAAGGAUUUGGAGUAAGGGGAAAAGACAUCUUUCUGGGAGUGAUCAAACUGUGAAACUGGUUUCCGGCAGAUAGAACUUUGUUUUGACACUUUCGCUUCCCGCCACCUUCCCGCAAGGCGUGGCUCACCCAGUGAGCCUUCAUCGUGUUUGGAGUUAUCUGACAAGCACAGACACUGUGACAACGCUCCUUGAC